GAUUAAAUGGCUGAUAAAAGUGAUAGAUUGUAAAUCUAUAUAUAAGAAUAAAUUUCUUUUUAAUCA
rnacentral:tRNA from 1 species